UACGUAGGUGACAAGCGUUGUCCGGAUUUACUGGGCGUAAAGAGCGCGCAGGCGGUCGUUCAAGUCGAGUGUGAAAGCCCCCGGCUCAACUGGGGAGGGUCAUUCGAUACUGAUCGACUCGAAGGCAGGAGAGGGAAGUGGAAUUCCCGGUGUAGUGGUGAAAUGCGUAGAUAUCGGGAGCAACACCAGUGGCGAAGGCGACUUCCUGGCCUGUUCUUGACGCUGAGGCGCGAAAGCUAGGGGAGCAAACGGG
rnacentral:rRNA from 1 species